ACAAACUUGGUCAUUUAGAGGAAGUAAAAGUCGUAACAAGGUUUCCGUAGGUGAACCUGCGGAAGGAUCAUUAGAGAAAUUGCCGCACGCUCCGGCGUCGGCGUUACUCCCACACACACCCGUGAACUGUUGUUUGGAGCGCCCGCUACUAGCUUCGGCGAACGCGGCGUCCCGUCACAAAACGUCUUAUAGUGUAAUGAACGUCAUGUUAAUCUUAACAAAACAAAACUUUCAGCAACGGAUCUCUUGGCUCAUGCAUCGAUGAAGAACGCAGC
rnacentral:misc_RNA from 1 species